AGUGAACGCUGGCGGUAGGCCUAACACAUGCAAGUCGAACGGCAGCACAGUAAGAGCUUGCUCUUACGGGUGGCGAGUGGCGGACGGGUGAGGAAUACAUCGGAAUCUACUUUUUCGUGGGGGAUAACGUAGGGAAACUUACGCUAAUACCGCAUACGACCUACGGGUGAAAGCAGGGGAUCUUCGGACCUUGCGCGAUUGAAUGAGCCGAUGUCGGAUUAGCUAGUUGGCGGGGUAAAGGCCCACCAAGGCGACGAUCCGUAGCUGGUCUGAGAGGAUGAUCAGCCACACUGGAGCUGAGACACGGUCCAGACUCCUAAGGGAGGCAGCAGUGGGGAAUAUUGGACAAUGGGCGCAAGCCUGAUCCAGCCAUACCGCGUGGGUGAGGAAGGCCUUCGGGUUGUAAAGCCCUUUUGUUGGGAAAGAAAAGCAGCAGGUUAAUACCCCGCUGUUCUGACGGUACCCAAAGAAUAAGCACCGGCUAACUUCGUG
rnacentral:rRNA from 1 species